CAUCCUGUAAGCUCUGUGGUCGAGCGAUGACUUUGGAAGCCACAGGUCGGUGGUUCGAUUCCACGUGGGCGCA